AAGGACAAAACCACAAAUCAGUCGCGGGGCUUUGGUUUUGUCAAAUUCAAAGACCCCAACUGUGUCCGGACUGUACUGGAGACCAAACCCCAUAAUCUCGAUGGCAGAAAUAUUGACCCCAAGCCAUGUACUCCCAGAGGAAUGCAACCUGAAAAAGUACGAACCAAGGACGGCUGGAAGGGCAGCAAAGCUGACAGCAAUAAAUCAAAGAAGAUAUUUGUCGGUGGAAUCCCCCAUAACUGUGGUGAACCAGAACUCCGGGAAUAUUUCAAUAGAUUUGGAGUGGUCACAGAGGUGGUAAUGAUCUAUGACGCGGAGAAACAGAGGCCCCGAGGUAAAAGCUGAUCUCGUUUUUCUCUUCCAUACCUCCCA